CAGUCUCCAGUCUCUGCAGAUGAGCCAAUUCAGUCUAAAGCAUGUGGAGAUCUUCAUCACAAACCUGAAACAGGAGUUUUAACACUCCUCUGUCGGUCAAAAUCUCAAAGUGUGACAGCUUGAGCAGCUCUCUUCCGCUCUGUGACAACUGCUUUUUUCACUUUCCUUCAUCCAAAAACGUCUUGAAGAAAUCAGAUAACCACAGGAAAAAACUUUAUUUUUAAUUUGAUAGCAACAGCUGCCAAAACAUAAAUAGGUUGUGUGAAGAAAGUGAAAACAGAUACAUAUGUCAGUUUUGGAAAACGACACAAACUUUUUUGAUUUUUGAUUAAAAAGGAAAUAAUCAUAACGAAAGACGACUGACUGAGAACGAUUUGAAAAUAGCUCAAAACAUAAUUUGAGUAGGACAUCAAGCAUCAGCAUGAUACCCUUAUGACCAGGAAAACAAUAAGAUUUAAUCACAGAAAGAACAGCAUCAUCAGCAUACAUCUGCAAUUCAGCAAAAACAGUCAGAAUCUCUGUCGGAUGGAGUCCUUUCACCAGCCAGGAUGUGAGACCUGAUGGAGGAAAUGUAACACGUUAUAUUAAUUACUAAACCAGUGAUAAAGUCAACAAUCAUUCUCUAUAAGGCUUCUCUAAGAAGCAAAUACAUCCACCUAAGAUCCUCCACCACAGCAGAAUCACAUGCUAGUUCCCCAUUUUUACUGUUUUCUUGGUUUUCCAAGAUUUUCUCUUGUAUAAUAUGGAUUUAUCUUUUUUUGUUGUUGCUUAUUUUCUGCUGCCUGAGCAAAAUAUCAAGCAAAAAUAGAGAAGUUUUGUAUGUAAAUUGUUGUUGUGACCAACAGAGGGCACAACACCUGCGACGCCCCGGUUACCUCUGAAGACUCCUGCAGCCAGACAGGUGAGUACUUUGCGAUGAAGCUUUGGGAAACAUCAAAAUAAAGUCUGCGGCUCCUCUCACUUGUUGCAAAUCUGUAUUUGAUAUUUGCAGUGAAGCAUCCAUCAGUCCUGCCCCCAGAGGCCGAAUGUCUGCAGCGCGCUGUGGAAGGACGAGCUGCGUCUGAUGAAGAGGAGGACGACAGGGGCGUGAAGGAGGUGAAGAGGCAUGCCUGCCGCCUGCUUGGCUGUGGAAAAGGAUGUCAGAACAGCGCUGCUCAUCAAAGUCCUCUUCAGGAGAAAAACAGUGACCAUCCUCACAAGGACAGCACAAGCUGCUGCAGGCAGAUAGAGCUACUCAAGAAGAAACCCGACGUCAGCUUAGACAAAGAAAAGGUGAGACAAAAAACAAGUUUGACACCUGAGCCAAUGAGUGUGUAGCAACUUUAAUGUAAUUGCUUAAUUUGUCUGUUUUCUUUUUCACACGCCUCCAUAGCAGACCUCUCACUCGUCCUUCUUUUAUAAGCCACGUUGCGCGUGAUCCUCUAUCCACAGAUCUAAUUGCGCUGCUUACGGAGCAUGACAGACUCUGCAUGACAGAUGCAUGUUUAAUUCACUACCAGUCAAACUGCUUGAUCAUCCAAACCUUACAGUCACCGUUUCGUCUUUCAUCAUACAGGAAAUUAGACUUUUGCUGAGUCGGGUUUUGUCCAUGGCUUCUGAGAGCUUACCUCGGAUUGUUUAGUGGUGGUACCUGUGACUUGUUUGCCGUUUUCUCUCUUGUGGCGUUUAGAUUACUUGAUGGCUUUUUUGUUGUUGACAAAACUUUAAUGCUUCCCCAGACGCAAGUUCAUUGUUUGUAACAUGCAAAAGUAACCAAAAUAACCCCUGCCUGACAAAGUUCUUGAAUUUAUUCUAGAGCAUGAAAAAUACAUUAAAAAAGGGGAAUUUUUAAGUUUAAAAAAAAAAAAUCAAUGGAAUCUGUUAUAUGAUGGGUUUCCCUAAAAAUAGCAGCACCUGCCUACCCUCUCCAAGCACAAACAACCACAAAAGACCCAACAUGCAGGUGAACAGGUGCACUAUAUCCAGAUUCACUAUGUUGUGACGUAGUGACAACAAAUGGCGGUUACAGAGUGUUUACCCCAGUCUGGAGCAGGAGAGCUGCUUUGAGGAUUUAGGCGUGUAACUACUGCCCUCUAGUG
rnacentral:lncRNA from 1 species